GACGAACGCUGGCGGCGUGCUUAACACAUGCAAGUCGAACGGUGAAAGCGGAGCUUGCUCCGCUGGAUCAGUGGCGAACGGGUGAGUAACACGUGGGCAACCUGCCCCUCACUUCGGGAUAACUCCGGGAAACCGGGGCUAAUACCGGAUACGACCUCCUUGGGCAUCCUUGGAGGUGGAAAGUUUUUCGGUGAGGGAUGGGCCCGCGGCCUAUCAGCUUGUUGGUGAGGUAGUGGCUCACCAAGGCGACGACGGGUAGCCGGCCUGAGAGGGCGACCGGCCACACUGGGACUGAGACACGGCCCAGACUCCUACGGGAGGCAGCAGUGGGGAAUAUUGCGCAAUGGGCGAAAGCCUGACGCAGCAACGCCGCGUGCGGGAUGACGGCCUUCGGGUUGUAAACUGCUUUUGUCAGGGAAGAAAUCUUCUGGGCUAAUACCCCGGGAGGAUGACGGUACCUGAAGAAUAAGCACCGGCUAACUAC
rnacentral:rRNA from 1 species